ACACACACACACACUUUCGCUGAGAGUGUCUGAUCUCAUUUGAUCUCAGAAGCUAAUCAGGAUCGGGCCUGGUUAUCACUUGGACUGGAAAUCACAUGGGAAUGAAGGUGACGUAAGCG
rnacentral:rRNA from 1 species